UAAGCGGAGGAAAAGAAACUAACAAGGAUUCCCCUAGUAACGGCGAGUGAAGCGGGAAGAGCUCAAAUUUGAAAUCUGGUGGCCUCAGGUCAUCCGAGUUGUAAUCUAUAGAAGUGUUUUCCGUGCUGGCUCAUGUACAAGUCCCUUGGAACAGGGCGUCAUAGAGGGUGAGAAUCCCGUCCUUGACAUGAACUACCAGUGCUCUGUGAUACAUUUUCAACGAGUCGAGUUGUUUGGGAAUGCAGCUCAAAAUGGGUGGUAAAUUCCAUCUAAAGCUAAAUAUUGGCGAGAGACCGAUAGCGAACAAGUACCGUGAGGGAAAGAUGAAAAGCACUUUGGAAAGAGAGUUAAACAGUAUGUGAAAUUGUUGAAAGGGAAACGAUUGAAGUCAGUCGUGCUCUUUGGAUUCAGCCGGUUCUGCCGGUGUACUUCCUUUGAGUGGGGUCAACAUCAGUUUUGAUCGCUGGAUAAAGGCGGGAGGAAUGUAGUACCCUCGGGUAAACUUAUAGCCUCUUGUCACAUACAGUGGUUGGGACUGAGGAACGCAGCAUGCCUUUAUGGCCGGGAUUCGUCCACGUACAUGCUUAGGAUGUUGACAUAAUGGCUUUAAACGACCCGUCUUGAAACAC
rnacentral:rRNA from 1 species